rnacentral:rRNA from 1 species
CCUGCUCAAUGUUAAGUAAAUAGCCGCAAAUAGUGCUAAGGUAGCAUAAUAUAUUGCUCUAUAAUUAAGAGAUAGAAUGAAAGGAAGCACGAUUUAUUAAUUAUAUCAAACUAUCGAUAUAAAAUUAUCUAUAUAUGUAAAAACCCAAUAUAACAACAACAGGACGACCAGACCCUGAUGAAAUUUUCUCUAAAUUUCACUGGGGCGGUAAAAACCUACAUCUUUUUAUUUUUACCUCAUUUACGCUAAAACUAGAAUUAAAAUAAGUUACCACAGGGAUAACAGCGCAAUAAUUUUUUCAAGUUCUCAUUCAAAAAAUAGAUUACGACCUCGAUGUUGAAUUAAUGCACCUCUUUAUAGAAAUAAAUAAACAAGGAAGUCUGUUCGACUUAUUAACCAUUACAU